GACGAACGCUGGCGGCGCGCUUAACACAUGCAAGUCGAGCGAAGCGGCGGACGGGUGAGUAACACGUGAGUAACCUGCCUUAGACAUUGGGAUAGCCUCGGGAAACCGGGAUUAAUACCAAAUGGUCUAAGAUGGACUCGCGUCCCAUUAGACUGGUGGUGAGGUAACGGCCCACCACGGCGACGUGGGGUAGCCUGCCUGUGAGGGUGAACGGCCACAUAUGAACUGACAAACGGUCCAAACUCUACGGGAGGCAGCAGUGGGGAAUAUUGCACAAUGGAGGGAUCUCUGAUGCAGCGACGCCGCGUGAACGAAGAAGGCUUUCGAGUCGGAAAGUUCUUUUAUAUGGGAAGCGGUACCAUAAGAAAAAGCCCCGGCUAACUACGUGCCAGCCGCCGCGGUAAUUC
rnacentral:rRNA from 1 species